GAUGAACGCUAGCGGCAGGCUUAACACAUGCAAGUCGAGGGGUAUAGUAGCAAUACUAGAGACCGGCGCACGGGUGCGUAACGCGUAUGCAAUCUACCUUUUACAGAGGGAUAGCCCAGAGAAAUUUGGAUUAAUGCCUCAUAGCAUAGCAGCUUCGCAUGAAGUCACUAUUAAAGUUCCAACGGUAAAAGAUGAGCAUGCGUCCUAUUAGCUAGAUGGUAAGGUAACGGCUUACCAUGGCUACGAUAGGUAGGGGUCCUGAGAGGGAGAUCCCCCACACUGGUACUGAGACACGGACCAGACUCCUACGGGAGGCAGCAGUGAGGAAUAUUGGACAAUGGGCGCAAGCCUGAUCCAGCCAUGCCGCGUGCAGGAAGACGCAUCUAUGGUGUGUAAACUGCUUUUGUACGGGAAGAAACACUCCCUCGUGAGGGAGCUUGACGGUACCGUAAGAAUAAGGAUCGGCUAACUCCGUGCCAGCAGCCGCGGUAAUACGGAGGAUCCGAGCGUUAUCCGGAAUCAUUGGGUUUAAAGGGUCCGUAGGCGGUUUGGUAAGUCAGUGGUGAAAGCCCAUCGCUUAACGAUGGAACGGCCAUUGAUACUGCCAGACUUGAAUUACUAGGAAGUAACUAGAAUAUGUAGUGUAGCGGUGAAAUGCUUAGAUAUUACAUGGAAUACCAAUUGCGAAGGCAGGUUACUACUAGUGGAUUGACGCUGAUGGACGAAAGCGUGGGGAGCGAACAGGAUUAGAUACCCUGGUAGUCCACGCCGUAAACGAUGGAUACUAGCUGUUCGGAGCAAUCUGAGUGGCUAAGCGAAAGUGAUAAGUAUCCCACCUGGGGAGUACGUUCGCAAGAAUG
rnacentral:rRNA from 1 species